UACGUAGGGUGCGAGCGUUAAUCGGAAUUACUGGGCGUAAAGCGUGCGCAGGCGGUUUUGUAAGCCAGAUGUGAAAUCCCCGGGCUUAACCUGGGAAUGGCAUUUGGGACUGCAAGGCUUGAGUGCGGCAGAGGAGACUGGAAUUCCUGGUGUAGCGGUGAAAUGCGCAGAUAUCUGGAGGAACACCGGUGGCGAAGGCGGCAUCCUGGACCAAUACGUGACGCUGAGGAGCGAAAGCCAGGGGAGCAAACGGG
rnacentral:rRNA from 1 species